ACCGCGGUUGGCGCGUUUGUGUCGGAUUGGUCUUUGGGUCCUAAACUGUUUCUCUAGAGCUUUUCUUUGACUCCCCGUCUGUGUCUGUGUCUGCCUAUCUAUGUAUCAGUCUAUCUCUCUGUGUCUGUAUCUGUUUCUGCGCCCCGGAUCUCUUUGUGUCACAAUCUCUGUCUACUUCUGUUUCUUAGAAGUGUCUCUGCCUUUCUGUAUGUCUCCAUGCUUGGCUCCCGUACCUACGUGCCACCUUUACCAUCUCCUGAGUCUGUGUAUUUCGGUCUCUCCUAGGAAGAAUCUCGGUAACUGGGCCGACGCUCGCGCACCAGGUUAGACCCCCACCCCCGCUGCUGGCUUCGAAACUCUAGCUCAAAGCGCCUCGCGUGCCCCGCAGUUCUCCUGGCCCUGGAGGUUCGGGUUGCGCGCGCUCUGUAGAAGGCAUGAAUGGCGGCGUCGCGGGGGGCGCCCUGGCUGCAGGUGACGCGGGGAAGCCCGGAGCGCCUGAGGACGCGGCGCGCGCCCGUGGGUAUCCGGAGGCAGAAGAAGAGGGACAGAGGGAGCUCUUUGCUCUCACCCUGUUGAAGGAAGUCCAUACCAGGAGGUAUUUCUGGGACUCAUUCUAUUUAGCAGAGGCUGAUAAAUCACAAAAAAGGAAUAAGGCAGAUCUGUGUGGAUUGACAGGACAAACCACUUGACUCAGAAGAAAUAGUACUCAUUAAGAGCAUGGAGUUUAGAAUCAAAUCAAGGAUCUGCCUUCUGCCUGAUGUGUGACGUCGGGUGUGUUGGUAAGUUCCCCUAUCUCUUAGGUUCCUCAUCUGUAAAACAGGGACAAUGAUACUGCUAUACUAUAUCUUAUUGGGUCAG